UCCCGAGCAAUGGCUUCUUUGGAUCUGGC
rnacentral:sRNA from 1 species